GAUGAGUAGGGCGGGACACGUGGUAUCCUGUCUGAAUAUGGGGGGACCAUCCUCCAAGGCUAAAUACUCCUGACUGACCGAUAGUGAACCAGUACCGUGAGGGAAAGGCGAAAAGAACCCCGGCGAGGGGAGUGAAAAAGAACCUGAAACCGUGUACGUACAAGCAGUGGGAGCACGCUUAGGCGUGUGACUGCGUACCUUUUGUAUAAUGGGUCAGCGACUUAUAUUCUGUAGCAAGGUUAACCGAAUAGGGGAGCCGAAGGGAAACCGAGUCUUAACUGGGCGUUAAGUUGCAGGGUAUAGACCCGAAACCCGGUGAUCUAGCCAUGGGCAGGUUGAAGGUUGGGUAACACUAACUGGAGGACCGAACCGACUAAUGUUGAAAAAUUAGCGGAUGACUUGUGGCUGGGGGUGAAAGGCCAAUCAAACCGGGAGAUAGCUGGUUCUCCCCGAAAGCUAUUUAGGUAGCGCCUCGUGAAUUCAUCUCCGGGGGUAGAGCACUGUUUCGGCAAGGGGGUCAUCCCGACUUACCAACCCGAUGCAAACUGCGAAUACCGGAGAAUGUUAUCACGGGAGACACACGGCGGGUGCUAACGUCCGUCGUGAAGAGGGAAACAACCCAGACCGCCAGCUAAGGUCCCAAAGUCAUGGUUAAGUGGGAAACGAUGUGGGAAGGCCCAGACAGCCAGGAUGUUGGCUUAGAAGCAGCCAUCAUUUAAAGAAAGCGUAAUAGCUCACUGGUCGAGUCGGCCUGCGCGGAAGAUGUAACGGGGCUAAACCAUGCACCGAAGCUGCGGCAGCGACGCUGAUGCGUUGUUGGGUAGGGGAGCGUUCUGUAAGCCUGUGAAGGUGUGCUGUGAGGCAUGCUGGAGGUAUCAGAAGUGCGAAUGCUGACAUAAGUAACGAUAAAGCGGGUGAAAAGCCCGCUCGCCGGAAGACCAAGGGUUCCUGUCCAACGUUAAUCGGGGCAGGGUGAGUCGACCCCUAAGGCGAGGCCGAAAGGCGUAGUCGAUGGGAAACAGGUUAAUAUUCCUGUACUUGGUGUUACUGCGAAGGGGGGACGGAGAAGGCUAUGUUGGCCGGGCGACGGUUGUCCCGGUUUAAGCGUGUAGGCUGGUUUUCCAGGCAAAUCCGGAAAAUCAAGGCUGAGGCGUGAUGACGAGGCACUACGGUGCUGAAGCAACAAAUGCCCUGCUUCCAGGAAAAGCCUCUAAGCAUCAGGUAACAUCAAAUCGUACCCCAAACCGACACAGGUGGUCAGGUAGAGAAUACCAAGGCGCUUGAGAGAACUCGGGUGAAGGAACUAGGCAAAAUGGUGCCGUAACUUCGGGAGAAGGCACGCUGAUAUGUAGGUGAAGCGACUUGCUCGUGGAGCUGAAAUCAGUCGAAGAUACCAGCUGGCUGCAACUGUUUAUUAAAAACACAGCACUGUGCAAACACGAAAGUGGACGUAUACGGUGUGACGCCUGCCCGGUGCCGGAAGGUUAAUUGAUGGGGUCAGCGCAAGCGAAGCUCUUGAUCGAAGCCCCGGUAAACGGCGGCCGUAACUAUAACGGUCCUAAGGUAGCGAAAUUCCUUGUCGGGUAAGUUCCGACCUGCACGAAUGGCGUAAUGAUGGCCAGGCUGUCUCCACCCGAGACUCAGUGAAAUUGAACUCGCUGUGAAGAUGCAGUGUACCCGCGGCAAGACGGAAAGACCCCGUGAACCUUUACUAUAGCUUGACACUGAACAUUGAGCCUUGAUGUGUAGGAUAGGUGGGAGGCUUUGAAGUGUGGACGCCAGUCUGCAUGGAGCCGGCCUUGAAAUACCACCCUUUAAUGUUUGAUGUUCUAACGUUGACCCGUGAUCCGGGUUGCGGACAGUGUCUGGUGGGUAGUUUGACUGGGGCGGUCUCCUCCUAAAGAGUAACGGAGGAGCACGAAGGUUGGCUAAUCCUGGUCGGACAUCAGGAGGUUAGUGCAAUGGCAUAAGCCAGCUUGACUGCGAGCGUGACGGCGCGAGCAGGUGCGAAAGCAGGUCAUAGUGAUCCGGUGGUUCUGAAUGGAAGGGCCAUCGCUCAACGGAUAAAAGGUACUCCGGGGAUAACAGGCUGAUACCGCCCAAGAGUUCAUAUCGACGGCGGUGUUUGGCACCUCGAUGUCGGCUCAUCACAUCCUGGGGCUGAAGUAGGUCCCAAGGGUAUGGCUGUUCGCCAUUUAAAGUGGUACGCGAGCUGGGUUUAGAACGUCGUGAGACAGUUCGGUCCCUAUCUGCCGUGGGCGCUGGAGAACUGAGGGGGGC
rnacentral:rRNA from 1 species